rnacentral:rRNA from 1 species
UGACAUUGAUUUAGCUUAGUGGCGAACGGGUGAGUAACACGUGAGGAACCUGCCUUUCAGAGGGGGACAACAGUUGGAAACGACUGCUAAUACCGCAUAAGACCACGAUACGGCAUCGUAUUGAGGUCAAAGGAGCAAUCCGCUGAAAGAUGGCCUCGCGUCCGAUUAGCUGGAUGGUGAGGUAACGGCCCACCAUGGCGACGAUCGGUAGCCGGACUGAGAGGUUGAUCGGCCACAUUGGGACUGAGACACGGCCCAGACUCC